rnacentral:rRNA from 1 species
UACGUAGGGUCCGAGCGUUGUUCGGAAUCACUGGGCGUAAAGGGAGCGUAGGCGGCAUGGUAAGUCAGAUGUGAAAUCCCGGGGCUCAACCCCGGAACUGCAUCCGAUACUGCCUUGCUUGAGGGUUGGAGAGGUGACUGAAAUUAUCGGUGUAGCAGUGAAAUGCGUGGAUAUCGAUAGGAACACUCGUGGCGAAGGCGAGUCACUGGACAACAUCUGACGCUGAGACUCGAAGGCUAGGGGAGCAAAAGGG